rnacentral:rRNA from 1 species
GACGAACGCUGGCGGCGUGCUUAACACAUGCAAGUCGAACGGAAAGGCCCUGCUUGCAGGGUCCUCGAGUGGCGAACGGGUGAGUAACACGUGGGUGAUCUGCCCUGCACUUCGGGAGAAGCCUUGGAAACUGGGUCUAAUACCGGAUAGGAGCCAUUUUUAGUGUGAUGGUUGGAAAGUUUUUUCGGUGUAGGAUGAGCUCGCGGCCUAUCAGCUUGUUGGUGGGGUAAUGGCCUACCAAGGCGGCGACGGGUAGCCGGACUGAGAGGGUGGACGGCCACAGUGGGACUGAGACUGGGACCAGACCCCGACGGGUGGCAGAAGUGGGGAAUAGUGAACAAUGGGAGCAAGCGUGAUGCAGAGACGCCGCGUGGGGGAUGACGGCCUUGGGGUUGUAAACUCAUUUCGCUAGGGACGAAGCUUUUUGUGACGGUACCUAGAGAAGAAGCACCGGCUAACUACGUG